rnacentral:SRP_RNA from 1 species
GCCAGGCCUGGUGGCGUGCAGCUGUAGCCCCAGCUAAUCAGGAGGCUGAAGUAGGAGGAUCGCUUGAGUCCAGGAGUUCUGGACUGCAGCGCACUAUACCAGCAGGGUGUCCACACUAAGUUCAGCAUCAAUAUGGUGACCUUCCCGGAGCAGGGGGACCACCAGGUUACAUAAGGAGGGGUGAACUGGUCAGUCAAGGUUGGAAAUGGAGAUCAAAACUCCUGUGCAGUAGCAGAAUCGAGCCUGUGAAUAGCCACUGCACUGGAGCCUGGGCAACACAGUGAAAUCCCCUCUCU